CGGAGUGUAGCGCAGUCUGGUAGCGCACCACGUUCGGGACGUGGGGGUCGCAGGUUCAAA
rnacentral:tRNA from 1 species